rnacentral:rRNA from 1 species
GACGAACGCUGGCGGCGUGCCUAAUACAUACAAGUCGAGCGAUGAAGCUUGGUGCUUGCACCAAUUUGAAGAGCAGCGAACGGGUGAGUAACGCGUGGGGAAUCUGCCUUUGAGCGGGGGACAACAUCGGGAAACGAAUGCUAAUACCGCAUAACAACUCUAAACAUAAGAUUCAAGUUUGAAAGAUGCAAUUGCAUCACUCAAAGAUGAUCCCGCGUUGUAUUAGCUAGUUGGUGAGGGUAAGGCUCACCCAGGCGGUGAUACAUAGCCGGCCUGGGAGGGUGGUCGACCCCAUUGGGACCGGGGCCACGCCCAAGCCCCCUAGGGAGGCCGCCGUAGGGGAUCUUCGGCCAUGGGCGGAAGUCUUACCGCAGAACGCCGGGUGGGUGGAGGAGGUUUUCGGGUCGUAAAACUCUGUUUGUAGGGAAGGACGUGGGUGAGGGUGGAACGCUCAUCAAGUGACGGUAACUACAGAGAAAGGACCGGCUAACUACGUG